CCCUUAGAUGUUCUGGGCUGCACGCGCGCUACACUGAUGCGCUCAACGAGUUUACGACCUUGCCCGGAAGGGUUGGGUAAUCUUUUUAAAACGCAUCGUGAUGGGGAUAGAUUAUUGCAAUUAUUAAUCUUUAACGAGGAAUUCCUAGUAAGCGCGAGUCAUCAGCUCGUGCUGAUUACGUCCCUGCCCUUUGUACACACCGCCCGUCGCUCCUACCGAUUGAGUAAUCCGGUGAAUAAUUCGGACUGCAGCAGUGUUCAGUUCCUGAACGUUGCAGCGGAAAGUUUAGUGAACCUUAUCACUUAGAGGAAGGAGAAGUCGUAACA
rnacentral:rRNA from 1 species